AAGCUCGUAGUUGAAUUUCGGGGUUAGUAGGUUGGUCAUGCCUCUGGUAUGUACUGGUCUCACUGAUUCCUCCUUCCUUAUGAACCGUAAUGCCAUUAAUUUGGUGUUGCGGGGAAUUUGGACUGUUACUUUGAAAAAAUUAGAGUGUUUAAAGCAAGCUAACGCUUGAAUACAUUAGCAUGGAAUAAUGAAAUAGGACGUUCGAUCUUAUUUUGUUGGUUUCUAGGAUUGACGUAAUGAUUAAUAGGGAUAGUUGGGGGCAUUAGUAUUCAAUUGUCAGAGGUGAAAUUCUUGGAUUUAUUGAAGACUAACUACUGCGAAAGCAUUUGCCAAGGAUGUUUUCAUUAAUCAAGAACGAAAGUUAGGGGAUCGAAGACGAUCAGAUACCGUCGUAGUCUUAACCAUAAACUAUGCCGACUAGGGAUCGGAUGAUGUUAAUUUUUUAAUGACUCAUUCGGCGCCUUACGGGAAACCAAAGUGUUUGGGUUCCGGGGGGAGUAUGGUCGCAAGGCUGAAACUUAAAGGAAUUGACGGAAGGGCACCACCAGGGGUGGAGCCUGCGGCUUAAUUUGACUCAACACGGGGAAA
rnacentral:rRNA from 1 species